rnacentral:snRNA from 1 species
GCGCUUGCCUCGGCAGUACGUAUGCCAAAAUUGGAAUGAUACAGACAAGAUUAGCAUGGCCCCUGCUCAAGGAAGACCCACAAAUUCAUGAAGUGUUCCAUAUUUUU